UCUCAAAAUCCCUCAGCUCUUAAAGGAAAUUUUGUCCUCCACACCAGCGAUCUCUUCGCCGAUUUCAGGAAGUGGAAAAUCCUGUCAUUUCUGGAUCAUUUGCUGGAUUUGAGUAGUUUCUGCAUUGCAAUAUUAGCGAUUAGGGUUUGGUGUUCGAUUUGAGAGCAAAACCUUGUUCUCUACUGCGAAAUCUGCUCCUCCAUUGCCAAUUUCCGUGCAGGCUAGAUAAACAAGGGGCAUAUACACCAAUUGCAGCUCCUCACCGAACCGAACCCUAGCUCUUCUCUCCGUCUUCUCCAAUAUUUCUCUCGUCUUCAUCAGAUCUACCGUCUCUCUCUCUCUCUCUCUCUCUCUCUCUCUCUCUCUCUCUCUCUCUCUCUCCGAUCAUUAGAUCCUCAAAAGACCUUUGAUUAUUCAUUUGAAGAAGUUACUCAAAUUUACAAUUGGCAUUAUUUGAGGAUAGAGGAAGGGUUUUAACUGUCAAUCAGGUGAGCUUCCCCCUCUCAUUUCUCCAAAAUUUUCCACUUAGGGUUUGGUUUUUGUAAUUUUUUCUUGAUUUCUGGUGCUUGAUCUGUUUUGAUCUUGAUCCAACUUAUGUCUCUUUAUUCUUAAAGAUUUCAUUGGAUUUUGUUUCGAUUCUUGCUGAUUUAAGUUGUAAU